rnacentral:rRNA from 1 species
GUAACACGUGGAAACCUACCUCUUAGCAGGGGAUAACAUUUGGAAACAAAUGCUAAUACCGUAUAAUAAUUAAAACCGCAUGGUUUAGUUUAAAAGAUGGUCUUGCUAUCACUAAGAGAUGGUCCCGCGGUGUAUUAGUUAGUUGGUGAGGUAAUGGCUCACCAAGACAAUGAUACAUAGCCGAGUUGAGAGACUGACCGGCCACAAUGGGACUGAGACACGGCCCAUACUCCUACGGGAGGCAGCAGUAGGGAAUCUUCCACAAUGGACGAAAGUCUGAUGGAGCAACGCCGCGUGUGUGAUGAAGGGUUUCGGCUCGUAAAACACUGUUGUAAGAGAAGAAUGACAUUGAGAGUAACUGUUCAAUGUGUGACGGUAUCUUACCAGAAAGGAACGGCUAAAUACGUG